GUAGCUUGCUACCUGACCUAGCGGCGGACGGGUGAGUAAUGCUUAGGAAUCUGCCUAUUAGUGGGGGACAACAUUCCGAAAGGAAUGCUAAUACCGCAUACGCCCUACGGGGGAAAGCAGGGGAUCUUCGGACCUUGCGCUAAUAGAUGAGCCUAAGUCAGAUUAGCUAGUUGGUGGGGUAAAGGCCUACCAAGGCGACGAUCUGUAGCGGGUCUGAGAGGAUGAUCCGCCACACUGGGACUGAGACACGGCCCAGACUCCUACGGGAGGCAGCAGUGGGGAAUAUUGGACAAUGGGCGAAAGCCUGAUCCAGCCAUGCCGCGUGUGUGAAGAAGGCCUUUUGGUUGUAAAGCACUUUAAGCGAGGAGGAGGCUACUUGGAUUAAUACUCUAGGAUAGUGGACGUUACUCGCAGAAUAAGCACCGGCUAACUCUGUGCCAGCAGCCGCGGUAAUACAGAGGGUGCGAGCGUUAAUCGGAUUUACUGGGCGUAAAGCGUGCGUAGGCGGCUUCUUAAGUCGGAUGUGAAAUCCCUGAGCUUAACUUAGGAAUUGCAUUCGAUACUGGGAAGCUAGAGUAUGGGAGAGGAUGGUAGAAUUCCAGGUGUAGCGGUGAAAUGCGUAGAGAUCUGGAGGAAUACCGAUGGCGAAGGCAGCCAUCUGGCCUAAUACUGACGCUGAGGUACGAAAGCAUGGGGAGCAAACAGGAUUAGAUACCCUGGUAGUCCAUGCCGUAAACGAUGUCUACUAGCCGUUGGGGCCUUUGAGGCUUUAGUGGCGCAGCUAACGCGAUAAGUAGACCGCCUGGGGAGUACGGUCGCAAGACUAAAACUCAAAUGAAUUGACGGGGGCCCGCACAAGCGGUGGAGCAUGUGGUUUAAUUCGAUGCAACGCGAAAAACCUUACCUACCCUUGACAUGCCACUAACGAAGCAGAGAUGCAUUAGGUGCUCGAAAGAGAAAGUGGACACAGGUGCUGCAUGGCUGUCGUCAGCUCGUGUCGUGAGAUGUUGGGUUAAGUCCCGCAACGAGCGCAACCCUUGUCUCUAGUUGCUACGAAAGGGCACUCUAGAGAGACUGCCGGUGACAAACCGGAGGAAGGUGGGGAUGACGUCAAGUCCUCAUGGCCCUUAUGGGUAGGGCUUCACACGUCAUACAAUGGUGCAUACAGAGGGUUGCCAAGCCGCGAGGUGGAGCUAAUCCCAGAAAAUGCAUCGUAGUCCGGAUCGUAGUCUGCAACUCGACUACGG
rnacentral:rRNA from 1 species